rnacentral:rRNA from 1 species
UUCGGAUGAUUCUUAACUGACUGAGCGGCGGACGGGUGAGUAACGCGUGGGUGACCUGCCCCAUACCGGGGGAUAACAGCUGGAAACGGCUGCUAAUACCGCAUAAGCGCACAGAGCUGCAUGGCUCGGUGUGAAAAACUCCGGUGGUAUGGGAUGGGCCCGCGUCUGAUUAGGCAGUUGGCGGGGUAACGGCCCACCAAACCGACGAUCAGUAGCCGGCCUGAGAGGGCGACCGGCCACAUUGGGACUGAGACACGGCCCAAACUCCUACGGGAGGCAGCAGUGGGGAAUAUUGCACAAUGGGGGAAACCCUGAUGCAGCGACGCCGCGUGAGCGAAGAAGUAUUUCGGUAUGUAAAGCUCUAUCAGCAGGGAAGAUAAUGACGGUACCUGACUAAGAAGCCCCGGCUAACUACGUGCCAGCAGCCGCGGUAAUACGUAGGGGGCAAGCGUUAUCCGGAUUUACUGGGUGUAAAGGGAGCGUAGACGGCAAGGCAAGUCUGAUGUGAAAACCCAGGGCUUAACCCUGGGACUGCAUUGGAAACUGUCUGGCUCGAGUGCCGGAGAGGUAAGCGGAAUUCCUAGUGUAGCGGUGAAAUGCGUAGAUAUUAGGAAGAACACCAGUGGCGAAGGCGG